AUUGUUUCUCAGCCUUUUGGCUAAGAUCAAGUAUAGGAUCUGUUCUUAUCAGGUUAAUAUCUGAUACAUCCUCUGAGGACAAUAUAGUAAAAGGAUUUUGGGAGCUAGAAAUUGGAAUAGGAGCUGUCCACUCCAUGAAUUGGACCUGGUAUUGCAGUACUUCUAGAAAUGGUGCAACCACC
ensembl:snRNA U2 U2 spliceosomal RNA